rnacentral:snRNA from 1 species
AUCACUUCUUGGCCUUUUCGCUGAGAUCAAGUGUAGUUUCUGUUCUUAUCAGUUUAAUAUCGGAUACGUCCUCAAUCCGAGGACAAUAUAUUAAAUGGAUUUUUGGAACAGGAGAUAGAAUAGGAGCUUGCUCCAUCCACUCCACACACCUGGUGUGUGGUAUUGCAGUACCUCCAGGAGUGGUGCACACACA